rnacentral:lncRNA from 1 species
GUCAUAUUUUGUGAGAAAAUUCUCCAUGCUCUUCCAGUUUCUUUCUUCCCAGCUCUCGCUUCUCAAACUGGAACCUCAUAUGCCUUCUUGGGUAUUUUUCAAAACUGAGAUGGCAGUUUAGGGAAACUGAAAAAGCAUGCACUUUAGAUGGAGUUACUGAGAAUGAAAAUAAGGACUUGUCUCCAACACACAAAUCUGAAGAUGCUGUCAUGUGGGGGGAGUCUGCAGAAUUACACCACCAGUGCAGUAAGUUAGUAAAAGCUUUAGUCACUGGUGAGUCAUUACGCAGCAUUAGGGAGCACAUAUCAAAGAAAAUGCUUGAGAACAACAUGUUUGUAAAGGCUUUUGUUUACAGUGGGUCCCUCCUUUCCCACUAGGAAAUCUAUCACAAGGGAAAUGCUGUCAGUAUAAAGAAUGUGAGAAAGCCAUUUUUGACAUUAGAAAAUCUGCAAAAGCGAGAAACUGCAUACAUGUGAUGACUGUAAGGAGGCCUUCAUUCAUCAUGGAAACCUUCUAGAACAUUAUGUGAAGGAAGCAAGAAGGAAGGCCUUCAGCCAGAAGUCAGAACUGACUGCACUAUAGAUUCUACACGGGAGACAGAUCUACUAAAUGUGAUGAAUGUGGAAAUGUUUUCUAUGGAAUCAUAGCAUUAUUCAGCAUUGGGGAGAAGAUCACACUAAAGAAAAACUGAGUGUCAUGGGUUUGGAAAAGUCUUCAGAGGUUGGACCUUAGAAAAUAUCAGGGAGUCCAUAUUAGAGAGGCUCUUAUAAAUGAGAAGAUUGUAGGAAGUUGUAUGGACAGAUAUCAAGCCUCAACAAUAGAGUCUCCAUGAUAUUGGAAAAUUCAUAUAAUUAAUGUAAAUGGGCAAGAUGUAUGGGGAAUGGAUAUUUUAUAUUGCCCAUUGUAGCCACAAAGAACAUUCAGUGAAUUUCUCAAGUCAAGAAAAAGGAAAGUCAUAAGUUCUUUUUGCUUCCAAAAGGAGUCUAUAAACAUGAACGAUCAGGAGUUUUGAAAUGAAGAUGUUUACCUGCAUCCCUGGACUUGUGCUACUGUCUCCAAGAUGACUGUUGGGGACAUGGUAUUUUCCCAUGCCCACUCUAAUCUCACAUCUUAAAUUCAUUCAAGUGUAGAUAAUAUUGUCUACUGCUUGUUGUAAAUUAAUUCUUAUGGGCUAAAUAGGCUUGUAUGAGUACCCCAGGACAUAAAAAUGACAUUUGUAAAGCUUCAGUAAGCAUAAUGAGCCACGUCAUUGAAUUGUUAGUACUUUUUAAAAUUUGGCACUGCUUCUGUGUUCCAACACAAGGCCAAAGAGGUGUCCAUCACAGAGUAUAUAUUUCCCAGCUUUGUUUUUUUUUUUAAGAUAGAAAAUGAUAUUUC